rnacentral:rRNA from 1 species
GACGAACGCUGGCGGCGUGCUUAACACAUGCAAGUCGAACGGAAAGGCCCUGCUUUUGUGGGGUGCUCGAGUGGCGAACGGGUGAGUAACACGUGAGUAACCUGCCCUUGACUUUGGGAUAACUUCAGGAAACUGGGGCUAAUACCGGAUAGGAGCUCCUGCUGCAUGGUGGGGGUUGGAAAGUUUCGGCGGUUGGGGAUGGACUCGCGGCUUAUCAGCUUGUUGGUGGGGUAGUGGCUUACCAAGGCUUUGACGGGUAGCCGGCCUGGGAGGGUGACCGGCCACAUUGGGACUGAGAUACGGACCAGACUCCUACGGGAGGCAGCAGUGGGGAAUAUUGCACAAUGGGCGGAAGCCUGAUGCAGCAGCGCCGCGUGCGGGAUGACGGCCUUCGGGUUGUAAACCGCUUUCGCCUGUGACGAAGCGUGAGUGACGGUAAUGGGUAAAGAAGCACCGGCUAACUACGUG